GUGGAGCAUGUGGCUUAAUUUGACUCAACGCGGGGAAUCUUACUAGGUCAGGACCAUCGAGUCGUUCGCGACUCGUACGUAUGAAUGUCGUAGUGUCGCUACUACACAAUUGUUGGAUGAGUGGUGCAUGGCCGUUCUUAGUUCGUGAUGCAAUUUGUCUACUUAAUUGUUGGUACCGGUGUUUCAUCGCACUGGUACCGCAACGAACGAGACCGUGUUGCGACAUUAUCGUACGUACACAGAGCAACCGCAAACUUGUUAGGAAGGACGCGGCAAUAACAGGUCUGUGAUGCCCUCAGAUGUUCUAGGCCGCACACGUGCUACAAUCUGAUUGUUUCCGUGUGUAUGUAAGAUUCACCACAGCGAGUCGAACCAAGCCCGAUGGUUGGGACUACCGUCUGUAAUUAUUCGGUAUCACAACUAGGAAUGCCUCGUACGGUGCAGUUCAACAGAUUCCCUGGAAUCCGUCCCUGCCCUUUGUACACACCGCCCGUCGCUCUUACCGAUGGUGGUGGGUUCGAGUUGCGAGGAAUGAUGUCUCGUAUAUUGUGAAUCGCCACGAGAACCCACUGCUAAAGGAAAGAGAAGUCGUAACAAGGCAUCG
rnacentral:rRNA from 1 species